rnacentral:lncRNA from 1 species
CGCGCCUGCCGCGGGCCCCUGCAAGGCCCGCCGCUCCGGGUCCCGCCCGGCUGGUUGCGUGGGUGGAUUUUGUUUUCUCUGCGCUUGGCAAGUGGCGCAGUGACUGUUUACGGAAUGGAGCCCAACGCUGCCUUCUCCCACCUCCCCUCGAGCCUCCCUGGCGCGUCCUCCCUGCCCAACCUUGUAGGAUUUGACAGCUCUCCCUCCACCUACAGCAUUUCUGAUUGAUUCCUACACCCUGCUGGCAGUUUCCUUGGAGUAAAUAAGUUGUAGUGAUGGGGUAUUUUGACGAUCACUUCUGAAUCUCGAGAUCGGGCUUUUAAGCUCUGAGAGCGCAGCUACAGGUUUUGCAGCAGACAUUCACUUAUUUAGAAAGAGCGAGGGAAUCUGUGACGUAGUCUGGUGAAUACGAGAAGAAACUUUUCAAAACCUCCGUAAAUGUGGUAAACUAAGAUGUAAAUGAGCCCUAAGAAAUGCAAAAGAGUAUGGGAAAGGCACAGAUUAUGUGGAGUUUCAAUGAUGGACCAAACACAAGUUGUUUAACGAAUCCCUUGGAUCCAAAUAAUUACACUGAGUGAAAUGCCAUACGUUUAUGGGAUCAAAGUGGAGUAGCAGUCAGUAAUCAUCUGUCUCAUUUAUCUUCAUUCAUCACUAUAAUAAAUUUUAGUACAAA